CACGUAGGGUGCAAGCGUUAUCCGGAAUUAUUGGGCGUAAAGAGCUCGUAGGCGGUUUGUCGCGUCUGCCGUGAAAGUCCGGGGCUCAACUCCGGAUCUGCGGUGGGUACGGGCAGACUAGAGUGAUGUAGGGGAGACUGGAAUUCCUGGUGUAGCGGUGAAAUGCGCAGAUAUCAGGAGGAACACCGAUGGCGAAGGCAGGUCUCUGGGCUGUAACUGACGCUGAGGAGCGAAAGCAUGGGGAGCGAACAGG
rnacentral:rRNA from 1 species